rnacentral:misc_RNA from 2 species
AGCAGCCGCGGUAAUUCCAGCUCCAAUAGCGUAUAUUAAAGUUGUUGCAGUUAAAAGCUCGUAGUUGAAUUUCGGGAUUGACGUGAUGGUCGUGCCUUACGGGGUAUGAACUGUUGCUGUUGAUUUCUCACCUUCUGGAGAAACUUGAUGUCCUUAAUUGGGUGUCUUGCGGAUCCAGGACCUUUACCUUGAAAAAUUAGAGUGUUUAAAGCAGGCAUUUUGCUCGAAUACAUUAGCAUGGAAUAAUAGAAUAGGACGGCAUGGUUCUAUUUUGUUGGUUUCUAGGAUCACCGUAAUGAUUAAUAGGGAUAGUUGGGGGCAUUAGUAUUCAAUUGUCAGAGGUGAAAUUCUUGGAUUUAUUGAAGACUAACUACUGCGAAAGCAUUUGCCAAGGAUGUUUUCAUUAAUCAAGAACGAAAGUUAGGGGAUCGAAGACGAUCAGAUACCGUCGUAGUCUUAACCAUAAACUAUGCCGACUAGGAAUCAGACGAUGUUAAUUUUUAAUGACUUCG